ensembl:lncRNA
CGCCCUCCUUGUAGGACUAUCCCUCUGCCAUGUGGAACCCGGUGUACUUCCUGCUUUGAUCAAUGGGUGUGGGGGCUCUAUGGCCAGGGUGUGGCUUGCCGUGUUCUCUCUUCUGCUGACACAAUGACUGGCAAUACUCAGUCCAGAGUGAAGAAGAGGCCGAGCAGAGCUGCAGCUGACCUACAGUGGACAUACAAUACGAGGAAGAACCUUUGCUGUUGUGAGCCUCCGAGCUUUGAUUUGUUCCUGUAGCAUAACCCAGCUUAUCCUGGGUGAUCCAGCAAGCAAACCUUUCUCAGCUCAGCCACACAUAUUCACACCUGUGGGGAGGCCAACAACCAGGACCUGAAUGGAACCACGAUCGAGGCUCUCAUUUUAGCCUCCAGAGCAGGGAUGCUGUGAGGCCCAUGCAACAGAUGUCUCCCCCAGGACACUCCACUCUCAACUUCCGUUCUGCGUAGGCAGCCGAGAUGCCCAUAUUACAACCAGCUCCUACUCUUCUCUAUUGGCACAAACAGUCGGCUGAGGGAUCCCUGCUGGUGGGGCUUCAUUUCUUCACCUCGCAGUGAAGGGGCAGGUGGGGACAUUUUGUUGUCCUGCUUAAGAAUUCCUGGGUCUAGAGUUUUUUAGCAAAAAUCUCAGCAAUAACUACCAUAGGGAAAAAAAAAAUCCCACCUCACAUUAUUCAUAAAAUAAAUCCCAGAUACAUAAACACCUAAAAGGGAAAACCACAUGUUAAAUCUAUUAGAAAACAAAUAGAGCUUAUGCCUGUGGAUGUGGAAGUAUUUCUUAAGUGGGACUCAAAAUGUACAUAAGUGCCGGUAAUGCUGAUUAAAUAAAAAAAUCAAAAUGUAUACAAUUAAAUACCUCAAAGUUUAAAAACUACGGGACUGAAAGAAGGUAUGUGAAAUCUACACAACAAGCAAAGGAUUAGUACCCAGAUCAUAUAAGAUCUUUGAGAAAAGCAAGAAGAGAAAAAACACUUUUGACAAGUAAUGUAGGAAAAGCAAAACAGGGAGAUACCACCUCACACCCAUUGAUUUUGUUUUAAAAACAAAACAAAAUUUAAAAACCCUAAAAUAUCUAGUGUCCAAGAGGAUGGGAAGAAAUGAGAAAACUCAUGCACUGCUGAUGGAGUGUAAAUUGAUACAACUUUGAAGAUUAAUUUGAUAAAGCCUAGUCAAGUUGAAAAUGUGCCUAUUUUUCGACCCAGAGGCUUAAGACACUCUGUAUGUGUGCACAAGGAGACACAUACAAAGAAACCACUUCAAUAACCCUGGCCCUCCUCAAGAAAAUGGGAAAAUAAAAUAGAGUUACAUGUAUCAAUAAAGACAGAUCUCAAUGUGCAACUGAAAUUUCACAAUGUUAUAAACUAUUAGUGACCACAAUUAAAAAAGAAAAAAGACAGAUCUCAAUGUAUCCAGUGAAAAAAAGCAAGUUAGAUAGAUAUCAUAUGAUUCCUGUAAAUUAAAAGUAUAUUACUAUGUCAUAACUAUGGCUAUGUAUAUAAUAAAAUGGGGACUGGCAGGAUAUCCUUGUGAUGUCUGACUAUGCGGAGAGAGGGAAGGGAAUGGGAGGAGAUAAGGUAACAAGGCAGAGUAAAACUUUAUGAGAAAUAUUUAUUUUGUUAAAAAAGAUCUGAUGCAAAUAUUACAAAAUAUUAAUAUUUGUUAAUCUCGAGUAUUAUAAAGUGUCAUAUUCUUCUCCGUGUUUUCAACACUUUUUUCUACCCUUUUAAAAGAAAGAAAUGUUGCCACAUCUAGAGGAUUCUAGUAGUCUACAGAAGAAUCAGAAUGGUGGUGCUGAAAUUACUUUAGGAUCAUCUAUUCUAAUUCACUUUUUUUACAGAUGGGGGAACUGUGGCCCAGAGAAGUAAAGUAACUUGCCUAAAGUCACACAGCUGGUCAGCGGCCAGGUUGUGGCUACACUCGGGUACUCCGAACAUCCAGCGAGGAAUUGCAGGUAGAUUUGAAGUGAGGCUUAAGGAAUAUGAUCUUAUGAAAAAAUCAAGAAGUAGGAAUUUUCAAAAUCUCCAUGUAUUUUCACCUGUUAACUCAUUCAGAAGGCAGAAACUGCAUCUCAGCAAGCACUCCAUAAACAUCUCAAUGAGUGAACCCCAAACAAAUGCUGGUUCCCCUCUUCAAGUAAAGAAGCGGUAUAAGCUACUUUUAAAAUGAGACUAAAAAAAUCCUUAAAACAUUUUGAUUAAAAAGUAGAAAUAAAACUUAGGUAACAUAUCUGUGGGAAAAGCUAUUUUAAUCAUUACAUUUUUACUGAAGUGAGACCAGAAUAACUUACAGGACAGUUUGAAUGACUGUAAAUUGCUGAAUUAGGCACAUAAAAUCAGAUUACUUAAGAGGUGCUACCCGGCUGUCUGGCUACUUUUAGAGAACCUAUCAUUUCUAAGAUUUAUUCGAAAAUAUCUUGUUUUAGUAUUUAAGUGUAUCAGUACAGGUACCUAUUCCUCUAUUGUUAGAAUAAACAUAAUUUUGUACUGGAGGCUCCAGGGCGACAGGUGUCGAAAUUCCCACAUAAUUAAGAAUUAUCUCAUAUAUCCCACACAGUUUUUAAAGUUCUGACAUUCUUGUAGGUGAAAAACCUAUUUAUAAUGAUCUGAGUUUAGGAGACAUCUAUUUUCAGCUACAAUGGAACAGCUCAUAGCAGAUGAACACUCCUACUGAGAAGAAUUAGAAAAGCUGGAUAAAAUACCGCCAAUUACUCAAUCAAUAUGCAAACAAACUGGAGAGAUGUCAAGGCAGUUAAGACAAGAAGCCAAAACUAAAGUCAGGCAUGGGAGUCGAGGGGUCUACUAAGAAGCAGGCUUUCAGCAGUCUUCCUGGGCUGGGGGGUUGGGGUGGCAAAAUAAAUAAAUAAAUAGGAGUGCAGGGGUGCAGGACACCAACUCAGCUAAAACUCGAGGAAACAAAAUCCCUGAAAAAAGUGAGUCAGAGAGAAGAGAACCCUGUAUUUGGUGGUUUUCCCUUGAGACAGCUGCCAAUACCUAAGUCAUUCAGGGCAGCAGGUUAAGAGGCUGAAAGCAGGUUGAGAAAGUUUGGGACUUCUGGUAAUUUCAAAGGGUGGAGGUGUUCAGGACAUGCCCAGAGGAGGGGCCAUAGGAAAUCCUGUAGACGGUCAGUUGAGAUCUCUGGAAAGUUACACCCACUUGAUUUCAGUAAUUGAUCAUUUGAGCCACUUGUUUUUUCUUGCUUUAAAUUCACUCUUAGGUUUUAUUUUUUUUAUUUUUAUUUUUUUGAGGAAGAUUAGCCCUGAGCUAACAUCUGCUGCCAAUCCUCCUCUUUUUGCUGAGGAACACUAGCCCUGAACUAACAUCUGUGCCCAUCUUCUUCCACUUUCUAUGUGGGUCGCCUACCACAGCACGGCUUGCCAAGCGGUGCCAUGUCCGCACCCAGGAUCCAAACCGGCAAACCCUGUGCCACCAAAGCGGAACCUGUGCACUUAACCACUGUGCCACCAGGCCAGCCCUACUCUUAGGUUUUAAAUUCAUGCUCUCAGGGUUUACCCAGAGACAGGCGCAGCCUUACAAAGAUGGCAAUCUUGCCUAACCAGCUCUGACCCUGCCUGCAGAUGCAGAGCAACGCUGACCAUUAUCUCCAAAGCAACAGUAAGAAGGACAGCUAACUUCUCCACAGUAACAAUAGAAACCAGAAGAAAAUAGAGUGGCAUCUUUAAAGUGUGGAAGGAAAAUCCUAGCAUUCUACAGGCAGUUAACAUACUCUUUGAAAAAAGGAUGCAAAAUAAAGACAUUUCCAAACAAACAUAAACUGAGAGAAUUCAUUAGGAGAUUCACACUAAAAGAUAUCAUAAUUAGAGUUCUUCAGGAAGGAGGAAAAAGACCCCAGAUAAAAACAUGAAAAUACAGGAAAGAAUGAAGAGCAGUAGAAAUGGCAAUUGUUGGUAAAUGCAGAUGAAUAUUCAACUAUAUAAAACAAAAAUAAUGUCUGACAAAGUAUGGAGGCAUAUAUAGAUAUCUAUCUCAACAACAAUAAACAUGUGGAAAGUAGUGAAUGUUCUAAUUUAAAUUAGAUUCUAUUAAGUAAAGAAUGUCACUAAAAGAAUAAAUAAGUACCAUGAUAAUAAAAGGGGAGAAGGAUAUAAUAAUAUUUCAUUAAUCCAAAAUAGGCAAGAAACAAGAGGAAAAGGUACAUAAAACUUGUGGGACAAGUAGAAAAAAAUAAUAAAAUGGCAGAUGUGAAUCCAAAUACCUCAGUAAUAACAUUAAAUAUAAUUGGAUUACAUAUUCCAAUUAAAAGACAACAAUUAUCAGACUACAUUUAAAAAAACUCUAUGCUACAGGAGAUAAAACCUAAAGACUACAAACACAAAAGGGUUGAAAGUAAAAGGAUGAAAAACAUUAUACAAACACCAACCAAAAGUAACUGAUACACCUACAUUAAUAUCAUAUAAAAGAAACUUUAAGACAAUCAGCUUUGGUAGAGAUAACCAAGGGCAUACCAUAACAAUAAAAGAGUCAAUCUACCAUGAAGACAAAACAAUUCUAAAUUUACACCCAUGUAGUACUCUUACCGGCUCUUACUUAAUAUCAGCCUUGAUAUUGGCUCCCCUACAGUGAACCUGGCACAUAGGGUGUUAAAACUAAAAACCUGCAUUCCUGGUUCCCUGGGUCUUUAGUUACACUCAUAUGUACAUGUUUGUGUCUUUAGUCUCUGACUCCCUGAGCUUUACAACCAAACAGAAGUUACAAAUUGUUAAAGCCCAGAUGGCUGGGCUCCCACUAAAGUUGUCGCUAAUCCCAGGACCUUGAAGUUCUUUUACGGAGAAACUAAUGUCCAGAGAAUAUCAAGAAACUUAAGCUUCCCAGGCUCAACUCCUCGGCUUCCUGACGUCAGAGUCUCCCGUCCACCAUGGAGAUGAACAGUCAAGGACGCUCACCUGAGAAAUCUUUUGUCUCCUCUGCUGGAAGCAGCCCCAGAUGCAGGCGGAUGGGAAAAUGCAGACCAAGAAGGCCACGGCCCCCUCCCCUACCUAAAACCCCAAAUAAAAACCCCUACCCAUAUCUCAAAGGGGAGCAAGCAACUUUGGGGGCACUAGCCCUUGCUUUGCUCUCUCUGCCUGGCAAAGUAAAGCUUUCCUUUUUCUCCCAAGACUCUGUUCUCGUUAUUGGAUUGGCAUCAGGAUCAGAGACUGAACUUUUGGUAAUAGUACAAGCCUGAGAGUGGGCUUUUCAUUUAUAACACAAGUACCUGACUUAAGCUUUGAUUGUGAGGCAUCCACUCCAAACAGAGCUAUCUGGAAUAAACACACUGCCAGCCACAGGACCAGAUAAAGAGCCAGGCCAUCUCCCUGUACUGAACAGCCUUUGUUUCAGAGAUCUUGGUGGAUUUCAGUAAUUGACCAAUUGGGCGACUUGUUUUUUCUUGCUUUAAAUUCACUCUUAGGUUUUAAAUUCACUAAUAAAGAGUGAACCCCUGAAACCUUAUGCUCCUACCCUCAAUCCCAUAAAAGCAGAACACCAGGCCCGUGCACUCUUUACCUGUGACCUGUGUGGCCCCAGGUGUGCUAUGUAAUUUCCAGUCCUGCAAGUAAUAAACUUUUUAUUUUUUCAAAGUUUCCCGAUGAUUAUUGCUGGAGGGCCGCUUGCAAUCACAAU